AACGAACGCUGGCGGCGUGGAUAAGACAUGCAAGUCGAACGGGAACUCUUUCCGUAGCAAUACGGAGAGAGUUUUUAGUGGCGAACGGGUGCGUAACACGUGGGCAAUCUGCCGAGAAGUGGGGGAUAGCUCGCCGAAAGGCGAAUUAAUACCGCAUAUGAUCAGUGAAGACAUCUUCACGACAUCAAAGACCGGGGCGAACCUCGGCGGCUUCUUGAUGAGCCCGCCGGCCUAUCAGCUAGUUGGUGAGGUAACGGCUCACCAAGGCUAUGACGGGUAGCUGGUCUGAGAGGACGACCAGUCACACUGGAACUGAGACACGGUCCA
rnacentral:rRNA from 1 species